rnacentral:lncRNA from 1 species
CAGUAAAAUGCGGGAAUACUUAAUGUUCUAGGUCGCCCACCAGUAAAAUGCGGGAAUACAUUCUGUUCUAGGUCGCCCACCAGUAAAAUGUGGGAAUACUUUCUGUUCUAGGUCUCCCACCAGUAAAAUGCGGGAAUACUUUCUGUUCUAGGUCGCCCACCAGUAAAAUGCGGGAAUACUUUCUGUUCUAGGUCGCCCACCAGUAAAAUGCGAGAAUACUUUCUAUUCUAGGUCGCCCACCAGUAAAAUGCGGGAAUACUUUCUGUUCUAGGUCGCCCACCAGUAAAAUGCGGGAAUACAUUCUGUUCUAGGUCGCCCACCAGUAAAAUGCGGGAAUACAUUCAUGUUCUAGGUUGCCCAC